rnacentral:rRNA from 1 species
AGUGGCGUACGGGUGAGUAACACGUGGGUGAUCUACCUCUUAGUGGGGAAUAACCCUGGGAAACCGGGGCUAAUACCGCAUAAGCCUGAGAAGGGAAAGCAGCAAUGCGCUGAGAGAGGAGCCCGCGGCCGAUUAGCUAGUUGGCAGGGUAAGAGCCUACCAAGGCAGAGAUCGGUAGCCGGCCUGAGAGGGCACACGGCCACACUGGCACUGAAACACGGGCCAGACUCCUACGGGAGGCAGCAGUGGGGAAUCUUGCACAAUGGGGGCAACCCUGAUGCAGCGACGCCGCGUGAGCGAUGAAGCCCUUCGGGGUGUAAAGCUCUUUCGGCAGGGAAGAUGAUGACGGUACCUGCAGAAGCAGCUGCGGCUAACUACGUGCCAGCAGCCGCGGUAAUACGUAGGCAGCGAGCGUUGUUCGGAGUUACUGGGCGUAAAGGGUGUGUAGGCGGUUCUUUAAGUUUGGUGUGAAAUCUCCCGGCUCAACCGGGAGGGUGCGCCGAA